GACGAACGCUGGCGGCGUGCUUAACACAUGCAAGUCGAACGAUGAAGCCGGAGCUUGCUCUGGUGAAUUAGUGGCGAACGGGUGGGUAACACGUGAGUAACCUGCCCUUGACUCUGGGAUAACUGCGGGAAACUGUAGCUAAUACCGGAUACGACCCUCGGAGGCAUCUCCUGGGGGUGGAAAGAAUUUCGGUCAAGGAUGGAAUCGCGGCAUAUCAGCUAGUUGGUGAGGUAAAGGCUCACCAAGGCGACGACGGGUAGCCGGCCUGAGAGGGUGACCGGCCACACUGGGACUGAGACACGGCCCAGACUCCUACGGGAGGCAGCAGUGGGGAAUAUUGCACAAUGGGCGCAAGCCUGAUGCAGCAACGCCGCGUGAGGGAUGACGGCCUUCGGGUUGUAAACCUCUUUUAGCAGGGAAGAAGCGAAAGUGACGGUACCUGCAGAAAAAGCACCGGCUAACUACGUGCCAGCAGCCGCCGUAA
rnacentral:rRNA from 1 species